GCCGCUGUAGCUCAGUCGGUAGAGCGCAUGGCUCUUAACCAUGUGGUCGCGGGUUCGAGCCCCGCCGGUGGCU